UACGGAGGGUGCGAGCGUUGUCCGGAAUCAUUGGGCGUAAAGGGCGCGUAGGUGGCCCGGUCAGUUCGUGGUGAAAGCGCGGGGCUCAACCCUGCGUCGGCCAUGAAUACUGCCGCGGCUGGAGCACUAUAGAGGCAGGCGGAAUUCCGGGUGUAGCGGUGGAAUGCGUAGAGAUCCGGAAGAACACCGGUGGCGAAGGCGGCCUGCUGGGCAGUUGCUGACACUGAGGCGCGACAGCG
rnacentral:rRNA from 1 species